AUCCAGCUGACGAGUCCCAAAUAGAACGAAACGUGCAU
rnacentral:hammerhead_ribozyme from 1 species